AUUGAACGCUGGCGGCAGGCUUAACACAUGCAAGUCGAACGAGUGGCGGACGGGUGAGUAAUGCUUGGGAAUCUAGCUUAUGGAGGGGGAUAACUAUGGGAAACUGUAGCUAAUACCGCGUACCAUAGGAUGAGCCCAAGUGGGCUUAGGUAGUUCGUGAGGUAAAGGCUAACCAAGCCGACGAUCUCUAGCUGGUCUGAGAGGAUGACCAGCCACCCUGGGACUGGGACACGGCCCAGAAUUCUACGGGAGGCAGCAGUGGGGAACAAUGCACAAUGGGCGAAAGCCUGAUUCAGCGACGCCUCGUGGGGGAUGAAGGCUUUCGGGUUGUAAACCUCUUUCGCUAGCGAACGGGUAGGUGGAGAAGAAGCGCCGGCUAACUACGUGCCAGCAGGCGCGGUAAUAC
rnacentral:rRNA from 1 species